UACGUAGGGCGCAAGCGUUGUCCGGAAUCAUUGGGCGUAAAGCGCGCGUAGGCGGCCCUGUAAGUCCGCUGUGAAAGUCAAAGGCUCAACCUUUGAAAGCCGGUGGAUACUGCAGGGCUAGAGUCCGGAAGAGGCGAGUGGAAUUCCUGGUGUAGCGGUGGAAUGCGCAGAUAUCAGGAGGAACACCAAUAGCGAAGGCAGCUCGCUGGGACGGUACUGACGCUAAGGCGCGAAAGCGUGAGGAGCGAACAGG
rnacentral:rRNA from 1 species